UACGUAGGGGGCAAGCGUUGUCCGGAAUCAUUGGGCGUAAAGCGCGUGUAGGCGGCCCGGUAAGUCCGCUGUGAAAGUCGGGGGCUCAACCCUCGAAUGCCGGUGGAUACUGUCGGGCUAGAGUGCGGGAGAGGCGAGUGGAAUUCCUGGUGUAGCGGUGAAAUGCGCAGAUAUCAGGAGGAACACCAAUUGCGAAGGCAGCUCGCUGGAACGUAACUGACGCUGAGACACGAAAGCGUGGGUAGCAAACAGG
rnacentral:rRNA from 1 species